AAGUCUACACCUCACACCGGCGCUCAGAGUGUAUGGAGGGGGCGGCGGCCUCCAGCUGACUGCAGAGCCCCCUUAUCUCCCCUCCCGGAGGAUGGACGGAGCUCAGAAGACACAGCAGGGGGAGAGAGAGGAUGUAGACAGCUCCGUGCACAGCUCCAUCCCCCGCACACAGCUCUAUCCCUCCCCCUCCCCCUGUCUCCACAGGACCUAAUCCACCACGGGGAGGUUGCUUGUUUGCACGGGGAAAACACAGAGCAGGGGGGGAGGGGGAGGACGGAAAUCUGACCUCACACCGGCCGGGACUACAGCUCUGAUGUCCACUCAUGGCGGCUCAGAGGAUCAGAAUGCAUUGGCAUAGUGAGGAGACGUCUGGGCAUCAAGUUCUGCAGAGAGAAGAUUUAGCUGGAACAAAUCCUGGCGCCAAUCAGAGAGCAGCACUACUGAAAUAGAACUCCCAGGAGGUAACAGCGUGUCACACAUGUGAUGUCAUAACCAUUGUCCACCAAAGAGCAGCACUGAGCAGAAAUAACACUGCUCCUGUUCAUUCUCCAUCAGUGAGGGGCCGGUGCUGGACACUGUGUAGGGACGCGGGAAUGCAAAGUCAUACACAUGACUGUGACUGAUGCACUAUCUCCAGGACAUGGAGUAGCAUUUCCGGACCUACAGCAAGACGUUGGAUGAAGGCAUAGCCCCAGAAAUAACACUGGUCCUGUUCAUCAGUGAGGGGCCGGUGCUGGACACUGUGUAGGGACACGGGAAUGCAAAGUCAUGCACAUGACUGUGACUGAUGCACUAUUUCCAGGACAUGGAGUAGCAUUUCGGGACCUACAGCAAGACGUUGGAUGAAGGCACAGGCCUAGGAAUCAUGCACGUACACAGAAACAUUUGCCCAAAUUAUAGAGGUAACCUCCUUUAGUAUGCCCAGAGGAAGGGCCAUACAGUAGCCAUGGAUUCCCUACAGGUUUCCUCCCCUCUGGAGGUUUUUCCUGUCCUGAGUAUUAGUUACUGUACGCUCUUUGUGAGUGAUGGGAGGUUACAAAAAAUCCCCUACACAAACAUUUUAAUAAAUAAUAAAUAAAGUUCCCCUUUUUUUAAACUGUUC